GGCCGAAAUCCAUGGUUACCAGGGCACAACUUCAAUCUAGUCGACUACACAGCCUCCUUCAUUUGGCUGAAGCUUUCUUAAGCCUGGAUAGUUAAGAGAAAGACAUACUAUGGUAGAGAGAGUUGCUCCCACAUAUGUGAGGGGAGAAUCUCUCAACAUGGUAUCGUCUCUCUUUCCCUGUAACAAAGCAGCUCAUGUCCACUGCUCAGUCUUACUUGAACUACGGUUUCUCUCUCAAGUGUUUGCUCAUCUCCAGCUAUUGAGAGAGAUUUCAAGUGUCAGGGAACAAAGAACCUUCUCAUUGAGCCAUAGUCCUGGUCACACUGGAGGCUGCAGUGUGGGAGCAGGGCUGACCCGAGGAAGAAAGGAGAGAGUGAUUAUGGGGAAGCUGGGAAGAUGCCAGUAGGCCAAGCAGUGACCCAGGCAACCACCUCCAGAGAUACAGGACUGACAUGACGCCUGCGAGUGAAAUCCAUGCCCUGGAUUUCACUUCACAGUAUACAGGUACCCAGCCAAUUACCAUGAAUACUCCUGAUGGAUCAGGCUGCUAACAAAACUAGGUCAAACCUAAAAUAGAAUCUCUGGGACACACCACUGCACGUGUCUGAUCACAUGAUUUGAUUGAGAAGGUUUGACCCUGAAGGAGGGUGGCAUCAUCCCACGAAGGCUGAAGUCCUAGACUGAAUAAACAGAAAAAAAAAUGAGCUAA